rnacentral:rRNA from 1 species
GUCCACGCCCUAAACUAUGUCAACUGGUUGUUGGGAAUUCACUUUCUCAGUAACGAAGCUAACGCGUGAAGUUGACCGCCUGGGGAGUACGGCCGCAAGGUUAAAACUCAAAGGAAUUGACGGGGACCCGCACAAGCGGUGGAUGAUGUGGUUUAAUUCGAUGCAACGCGAAAACCUUACCCACCUUUGACAUGUACGGAAUCCUUUAGAGAUAGAGGAGUGCUCGAAAGAGAGCCGUAACACAGGUGCUGCAUGGCUGUCGU